CAGGAUGAACGCUGGCGGCGUGCCUAACACAUGCAAGUCGAGCGAUCUUCUUCGGAAGAGAGCGGCGGACGGGUGAGUAACGCGUGGGUAACCUGCCUCAAUACACAUGGAUAACAUACCGAAAGGUAUGCUAAUACAAGAUGAUAUAAGAGAUUCGCAUGGAUUCUUAUCAAAGCUUUUGCGGUAUGAGAUGGACCCGCGUCUGAUUAGCUAGUUGGUAAGGUAAUGGCUUACCAAGGCGACGAUCAGUAGCCGACCUGAGAGGGUGAUCGGCCACAUUGGAACUGAGACACGGUCCAAACUCCUACGGGAGGCAGCAGUGGGGAAUAUUGCACAAUGGCGAAAGCCUGAUGCAGCAACGCCGCGUGAGCGAUGAAGGCCUUCGGGUCGUAAAGCUCUGUCCUCAAGGAAGAUAAUGACGGUACUUGAGGAGGAAGCCCCGGCUAACUACGUG
rnacentral:rRNA from 1 species